UACCUGUUGAAGCAAUCAGUGUUAUUUAUAUGUUUUAUAAAUAUUUUCAACACAUUGUCCCCCAUUUUGAAAACAGUUUGCAUGUUCCCUUCAUUUGCAUGUUUAGAAAUACAUUUUUAAAGUUAAUAAUAAAAAUAAACCAUCUAGACUCUGCAGUUAAGCCAUAGGUGACCAAUCUCUGGCACAGCCAGUAGAGGCUUAUGUGAUGUGAUAGGCACAUGGGUCUUUCUCUGGCAUAGACUUGAGCGGGGGUGACAAACCUUUUCCAGCCAGAGGGCUACAUCCUGACCCUUCACAUACCCCAGGGCUACUUUGACACCUGACGCCCUUAUGGUGAUGUCAGGUGACAUCUUCAAAAGAGCUCACUGUCAGCCCCAAUGAGCUUCUUGGUGCCCACAGUGAGUCUCACUUUUUUCAUUUGCAGAUUCUGUUUGGAUUCAAACUGCACCUACAGAUGGAGACUUUUCUGCCGCAGACAAGCAAAGCUAUCUACAAGGCCAGUCUGUAGAAGAAAAAUGUCCAUUUACAGUACAGGAAGUAUCAGAGCCAGGUAUCCACCACUGAAAAUGGCAAAGACUACAGAAUAGGUCAUAAGUAAUGGGAAGGUUGUGGCAAGAGGACACAGCAGGUUAGUGACACCACAAAAAAUGAGGACUAAUUUGUUGAUCUGCUUAAUUGAAAGGUAAGUGCCAUCCAUUAGAAUUUUGUAUUUCAUCACUACUACUCGCCAACAGUGAUAUCCUGGUAAUUUACCCAUGGGGGGGGGUCUCAGGAAUUUCCAGAUUGUUAUAUGCCAUUUGUGAAAUAUUUUUUGAAGAAAUACUAAAAAUAUUUUCAAAGCCCUGGCUGUCUUUUCCCCUCCUUUCAUUUUACAACAAAGUAUACUGCCUGCAGUCUAGCAAACUUGUUUAUGUAGAAGUUUAAAUGUAUGCAUGCAGCCAGUUUCUUUGUGUUUUGUUUUUUUGUUAAGAGAAAGUUUGCACAUUUGAAAUUAUGGCCAUUUGCCAUUGCCUUCACUCUGCAUGACUCAUAUUUUGUAUCCCUGCUCAGUAACUAGCUUUCUUAAAACAGUCACUUAGUUGCAUGAAAUUGCUGGGUUAGGGCCCAAGUCUCCAACUCCUACCUCUCGAAAUCGCUUGCUGACAAGUACAUUUGCCACAGAUGUUACUCCCUUCAUAUGCCACUCUUGGCUUUUGGUUGGCAAAUUUCAGAUUGGAGGGAAGGGGAGUAUUUUGGGUGGGUGACUGGCUUUGGGCUUGGAACUUCUCCUUGCUGAUCCCUAUUAUGUAUCAUUGUCUUACAAUGGGAGACAAUGGCUUCAUUUAAUAAAGUCUUUUUAAUUACUGGA